rnacentral:rRNA from 1 species
UACGUAGGGGGCAAGCGUUGUCCGGAUUUAUUGGGCGUAAAGAGCGUGUAGGCGGUUUGGUACGUCCGCUGUGAAAACUCGAGGCUCAACCUCGAGACGCCGGUGGAAACCAUCAGACUAGAGUCCGGAAGAGGAGAGUGGAAUUCCUGGUGUAGCGGUGAAAUGCGCAGAUAUCAGGAAGAACACCCGUGGCGAAGGCGGCUCUCUAGUACGUGACUGACGCUGAGACGCGAAAGCGUGGGGAGCGAACAGG